AGCGAACGCUGGCGGCAGGCUUAACACAUGCAAGUCGAGCGGGCACUUUCGGGUGUCAGCGGCGGACGGGUGCGUAACGCGUGGGAACGUGCCCUCUGGUUCGGAAUAACUCAGGGAAACUUGAGCUAAUACCGGAUACGCCCUUUUGGGGAAAGGCUUGCUGCCGGAGGAUCGGCCCGCGUCUGAUUAGCUAGUUGGUGAGGUAACGGCUCACCAAGGCGACGAUCAGUAGUUGGUCUGAGAGGAUGAUCAGCCACACUGGGACUGAGACACGGCCCAGACUCCUACGGGAGGCAGGAGUGGGGAAUAUUGGACAAUGGGCGCAAGCCUGAUCCAGCCAUGCCGCGUGAGUGAUGAAGGCCUUAGGGUUGUAAAGCUCUUUUAUCCGGGACGAUAAUGACGGUACCGGAGGAAUAAGCCCCGGCUAACUUCGUG
rnacentral:rRNA from 1 species